ACACUUCCUUAGCUAGGAGCUAGCAAUGCUACGUGGAAUUGCAUGUCGGUAUCUUCUGAGAGGUUGUUCUCUCUCCACUUCUCAUUCAAGUCUGAAGAUGCUUACAGUCACCUGCAGUACUUCUAAAUCAGAGUUUUGAGAUGGAAGAGGUCACAGCUCCAAUGAUCUCAGCCGAAGAAGAUGAGGAAGAAGACCAGCACAAGUGCUACGACUCAGUGACCUCAUGGGAAACCGUGGGGAGAGAUAGCAUUCAAGAAGGAACAUGGGGAAGAGUAUCCAGAGUACAGAGUGGAAGCCUUUGCCCUCCUCUUUCAGCUCUCCAAGGAAUGUCUUCCUGCCCGGUGUCCUGGACAACUGCCUGUCUUUAGAAUUAACAAAUGCUCUGACUUGCAGAGUCUCUCUCAAAUCAGCUUUUGCUGGUAUCAGGAUUUCUCUGGAGGACUCAACAAAGUCCUCUCCAUGCCUGAGAUUCCUACAAUGAUUGAAAUUCCAUUGUUUCUUCCCCGUGGGUAUGUAUUUCUGCCUUUGGACGGACAACUUCAGUCCAGCUUUCACAUGUCCCUCAGAACCACUCUGUGCAGAUUGUGACCUGAUGCUUCUAACACACUGUCCUUCACCAGUCCCUAUGCCCUCAACCCCUACACUCUAUCAUACACAUCUUACUGGACAAAAUGCCUACUUGUGUCAUUCACUUCUUGCUGGACAUGCUGAGGUUUUGGAUAACCUGUCCAUCUUUCAGUCUCAGCUGUUCCAAAGGUGCAGGCUCUCACACUCUCCAGUGCUUCAGCCCCUUCACGUUUCACAUAUAUUUCACCUGAGUGAUUAUUUUAGAUUCUGACAGUGUGGAUUCAUCACGGUGUUUCAUUUGGUUGGUUUUAUAUCGCAUUUCUGUUUUUACCAAGAAAACUCAUUUUUUCCUCUAAAA
rnacentral:lncRNA from 1 species